rnacentral:lncRNA from 1 species
CUUUUCCAUGUCUUUAAAUACCUUAUACGCUUCAUCCAUUAAUCCUUGUUGGCAGAGUCCUUUCAUAAUUGCAUAAUAUACAUAAACAUCAGGUUGUAAACCAAUUUCAGAAAGACUAGAAAAAAGUUCCUUGGCAUCAUUAAUCUUCCCAACUUUGCACAUACCAUUGAUCAGACUGCUAUAGAUCACAACAUUAGGCUUCAACUGACUUUUCUCCAUUGCUUUCAAUAGUGUGAGUGCCUCAUCGAGAUUCCCCUGUCUACACAAGCCAUCAAUCAUAAUUGAGAAGGUUACUAUAUUUGGUUGUUGACCAUGAAAGCACAUAUCCUUAAAGAGCUCUUUUGCAUUUUGGGGCCUCCCUGCUUGAAACAUACCCUUUAUAAGAGUAUGAUAAGUAACAGCAUUAGGAACUAAACCUUUAUGAGACAUUUCAUCAAAAAUCUCCUUUGCAUCAGCUAUCAUUUUGCACUUACAAUAUCCAUUGAUCAAAAUGUUGUAGCUAAAAAUGUUAGCUAUUUCAUUGGUCACCAUCAGAUCAAAUACCUUUCUAGCCUUAUCAAUUUGCUUGCACAGACAAUAUCCAUCCAUCAAUGAAUUAUAAGUGACAACAUUAGGUUCCACACCUCUUUGAAUCAUUAUUUUGAUUAUAUUCUGUGCAUUUGAAACCAGUCCUUUCUUACAAAGAGUGUUGAUCAAUAUAUUGAAGGUAACAACAUUAGGGAAUAUGUUCCUCCCCACCAUUUCUUUCAACAAGGCCAAAGCUUCCUUGAAAUGGUCUGAAAUGCAAAGACCAUCAAUUAAGGAAGUGUAGGUGACCACAUUAGGCUCUACACCUCUUUGAAUCAUUAUAUUGAAUGUAUUUUGAGCCUCUGAAACCAUUCCAUUCUUACAAAGAGCAUCAAUCAAUACAUUGAAGGUAUAAACAUUUGGUAAUAUGUUCUGCUCCACCAUUUCAUUCAUCAAGGCUAAAGCUUGGUUCUUUUGGCAUAAUUUGCAAACACCAUGAAUUAAACUAGUGUAAGUGAUGACAUUAGGUGAAAUGCCCUUAUUCCUCAUUUGAAAGAAGAGCUCUAAAGCCUCACCAACUAGCUCAUCUUUGCAAAGGGCGUCAAUGAUUGCACAGUAUGUCACAACAUUUGGCUCACAACCUCUAUCAGUCAUUCCCUAUAGUAGCCCAAUAGCCACAUUUGUUUUCCCAAAUUUACACAAUCCGUUUACUAUCACAUUGAAAGUACGAACAUUAGGUUGAUAACCACGUGCAACCAUAUCAUCGAAAAAUUCCACUGCUUUGUCGAUUUUACUCUCUAUACAAAGCCCAUUAAUUAAGGUAGUAAAUGUCACAACGUCAGGCUCCAAUCCGAAUUUGAGCAUCUUACCAAAAACAGAGAAGCCAAAAUCCACAAGGAGUAAAUGGCAGAAGCAAUUAAUUAAGAUGCUAAGAGAAUAAACAUCGUGAGAGAUUCCUAGCAAUUCAAUUGUUUUGGACAUGGAAAGGACAGUGUGAUAUUGUUUCAUUUUCACAAGGGCAGAUAAGAAUCUAUUAAAAUGAACCCUAGAAGGCAGAGGAUUCAUAUGAAUUGCAUGAUUAAAGGAAGCAAUGGCAUCAUGAAGGCGGGUAAAAGAAGCAGAUUUGAAGUUAUUUGUCAAGAAGCGUGCAUCUUCAAGUGUGGAAGUAGAAGAAUGGCAAUAAUUGGUAAAUAAGAAUAGGAAUGGAGAUUGAAUGGUACCAAUUGCCCCUUGUAGCUGAAGAUGGAAGCUCCUGCUCNNNNNNNNNNNNNNNNNNNNNNNNNNNNNNNNNNNNNNNNNNNNNNNNNNNNNNNNNNNNNNNNNNNNNNNNNNNNNNNNNNNNNNNNNNNNNNNNNNNNNNNNNNNNNNNNNNNNNNNNNNNNNNNNNNNNNNNNNNNNNNNNNNNNNNNNNNNNNNNNNNNNNNNNNNNNNNNNNNNNNNNNNNNNNNNNNNNNNNNNNNNNNNNNNNNNNNNNNNNNNNNNNNNNNNNNNNNNNNNNNNNNNNNNNNNNNNNNNNNNNNNNNNNNNNNNNNNNNNNNNNNNNNNNNNNNNNNNNNNNAUUAUUUAAUAACAAAUUAAAUUUAUCAUUUUAUAAUAAAUAAUUUUGUAAAUAUAAAUGCAAUUAAGUCUCACUUUUAUUGAAGAGUUAAAUAAUUUUAAUUUAAAAUUUUGGAUAAAUUAAAUCUCUAUAUUAUUACUCAAAAAUUAAAUAAAUCAUAAUUUAACAUAAUAUUAUUUUUUAAUAAUAAAAAUUUUUAUAUGAUAAAACUUUAUUUAUAUAAUUUUAAAAAUUAUUUAUUAUAUUCAUAUAUAUUUUAAAAUUUUUAAUUUUAAUUAAAAUACUAAAGUUUUAAUGUUUUAAAUUAUAAAAAUAAUAUUUUAUCAUUAAAAAAUAAUAUUAAGUUAGAAUCUAUUUAGCCUUUAAUAAAAUUACAUAGUUUAAUUAGCUUAAAAUUUUAAAAAUUUUAAAUUGAAUUUAUGUGACUCUUAAUAAAAAUAUAGAGAUUUAAUUAAAUUUAUUUUCAUAAAAAUAAUAUUUUAUUAUAACCGUACCUUAUAUUUAAUUGAAUUUAUUUAAAAUUAAUUAAUUUUGUUAAUUUUAUUUUUUAAAAUAAAAUAUUAUAAAUAUAAUUGUAGAAUAUUAAUUUUUUAUUUUAUUAAAUAAUAUUCCUUAUUUAAUAAAUAAUUAUCAAUGUAUAUUUUUAAAAAUAUUAUUAUAGUCUAAUUGUAUAUAAUAUAGACGAGGAAAAAAUAAAUAGUUUAUUGUUUAAUUUUACUCUAAUUUUAUUUUAGUAUAAUAAAAAUUAAUUUUUUUACAAAGCUUAACUCUCAUGAGAACUGUUUGGCACAUUUUUAUUUUGACAUUUUAUUUGAAUAAUAUUACAAUUUUAAUUAAAAUCAGUAAAAAAUUAAUAUACAAAGUUAUUUCAAAAUAAUAAAAUUUUGAAAUGUUAAACUCACUAAAUAUAUUUUGCAUUUUAAAUUUUAUUUGUUAUUUUAUUUUAUUAUUAAUAAUAUUAACGUAAAUUUAUAAUAUGUAAAUUAUUUCUAUGCAUUUAAUAUAUAGUAUAUUGUAUUAUAAAUUAUAAGAAUAAUAUUUUUAAAGUAUGAAUAUAUUUUUGUACAGAAUUUCAUAAAAAUUAAAUUAUAAACAUUUUAUUUAUAAGAUUACAUAAUAAAUGUUAAAUUAGAAAAUUAAAUUACUGUGUGAAUCUAAUCAUAAAAAUAUAAAAUUAUCAAAAAUUUAAUAUUUUUAUUAAAUGUUUAUUGCUAAAAAUUAUAAUUAUUUUUUUAACUAUAUACUUCUUAUACCUAUUUUAUAUCAGUCAAACAAUCCUAUGCAUUCCAAUAAUAGACAUCAUUCCAAAGUGUUAUAACAGAAAAAAUCAUCUUGCAUGAAUAACAGUUUCAACCAAAGGAGAAAUACAACAUCAUGAAUGUUUCUUCAAUUUUAGCUUCAAAAGUCUUAAGAGUUUAAAAGACGUCUUAUUGUAAAGAUAUGAAUCAACAACUUUUUAAUUUGUAUUGAUAAUGCAGUGAUUUUUUCAUUGGCAAUCCAAUAAAAGUCCGUUGGUAAAUGAAUUAACAAUGGAUUACUAACAGAUUACGAUCCGUUGUUAAAAAAUUUGGUAGUAAAUUUUUACCAACGACUUUUAAAUUCGUUAGUAAUACUAGUGGAUUUAUUAACGAAAUUUUCGUUAUUAUUACCAACAGAUUUUAAAUUACUAACAAAUUUUAAAUUCAUUAGUAUAAAAGAAAAAUAAUUUAUUAAUAGACAUGAAAUCCAUUAGUAAAUUAUCUAUGAAUUGCAAUUCAUUAGUAAAUUUAUUGAGAGUUUAAAUAAUUUUUUAUUAAUUUAAUAAGAUUUAAAAUUAUAUUAUUAUUGUUAUUAAGUUUUUAAUUUGUAUCCAAUAUUUAUUAGAAAUACAUAGACAGUGAAAAUUAAAAAAAAAGAGUAAAUGGUACAAAAUGAGAGAAAAUAAUAAAAAAGAGAAAAAUAAAGAAAAUGAUAGAAAAAUAAAAAUUAUGAAAAAGAAGAAAGAAUGAGAGUUGAGUAAAAAGAUAAUUAGAGAAAUAAAAAAAUGAAUAAAUGAUUAGAGAAGAAAAUAAAUAAAGAUAAAAUAAUAGAAAAAAUUUAGAUAGAAAGAAAAUGACAGAAGAAAAUAAUAUUAAAUAAUUAAUAUGAAUGAAAAUUAUAAAGAAAAUGAAGAAGAUAAGAGGAAAGGAAAUAAAAAGAUGGAAAAGAAAAUGGUGAAAAUGAUGGGAAAAUUCUGAAAAAUGAAAAAGAGUAAUAGAAGAGGGAAGAGAACGAGAGAAAAUAGGAUAAGAGAUGAAAGAAAAAUAAUUGAAAAAAAUUAUGAGAUAAAAAAGUGAAAUAAAAGAAAGAAAUAGAAAAUGAAAGAAAAUGAGAGAAAGGAAAAAAAUGGAAGAAAGGCAUAUGAUAAGACGAAUGAAUGAUAAAAGCAGAGAAGUUGGUGUUAUAUUUAUAAACUUAAUUAUUAGUAAAUUUGCAAUUCGUUACUAAAUUUUGAAAAAAAAAAGUAACUUUUUUCUUUCUAAAAAUUACCAAUGGAUUUGAAAUCUGUUAGCAAAUCCGUUAAUUGAAAAAUGUGAGUUGUAAAAAAAAAAGAAAGAAUUUUAUGUAGGAUUUUAUUUUAAAUUUAUCAACAGAUUUACUAGCAGAUAGCAUUUGUUGAUAAAUUUAAUAUUUUUUUACUUAUUAAUUUAAUGAUAAAGUUAAGUAACGAAAUUUUAAAUUUGUUAGUAAUUUUUUGGUAAUUUGGAUUUAGAGUUUAUUAGUAAUUUAAACACUUUUAAAAAUUUAUUUAGAGUGUAAACUAAUUGUUUUGAAGAGUUCAAAUUUAGUCCGUUAAAAUUUUUUUAAGUUUGAGCCGAACUCGAGUUUUGCUUAUUUCAAACUCGAACAUAGUAUUAAUAAGUUUAAACUUGACUCUUUUAGCAAAUGAACUUAGACUAACCAAGUUUUUAUCGAGUUUAAUCUCAAAUAAUUCACCAAUAAUUUAAUUUAUUUAUAUGUAUAAUGAAUUUUAGUUUAAAACUAAAUAAGUAUAUAUAUUGAAACGGCUCGACCCAAACUGACCCAAAUAAUUUUUAGAAAGUGCCCACUUUCUACUUGUAGUUUCAUUUUCCGUAUUCUAUUGAUGUGGGACGUCUUCCUACAUUAAGCAAGCAGAACAGUUCGGCCCAAACUGACUCAAAUAACUUUUGACCUACUUUCCACUCGGCCCAAAAUGAUUAAUCCAAGUUAUUUAUUAGUUUAGUGGUUAGCUAUUAUAUACGAUUUUGAUUUUCCAUACUCUGCCGAUGGGGACGUCCCACAUCAAGUAAAAAGCUGACCUUCACAUAUACAAAUUAGCUCAUAAACUUAUAAGAUGAACUCUUAACGAUCCAAAUAUAUGCAAGUUUUAAUAGUAUAAUUGCACAAUAUAGAAUUAAACUUUAUAAAAUUUAAAUUUGACUCAUAAAAAUAUAUGUAAGAUUUGAAUUUAUUUACCUUAUGUUAUUAAUCUCAGCCUACUUAACGAAACUAUUUACAAGUCUAUUCGCGAAUCUGCUCAUGAAUUCAAAUGCGAGCCACGUUCAUAAGCCUUAACGAGACGAAUAUUGUGGAGUUUAAAUUUGCCUCGUUUACUAAACAAACCUAAAAAUUAAAUUUGAAUUUGACUCGUUUAGAAAUUGAGUUGAGAUUAAUCAUCGAGUCGAAUAUCGAAUAGUUCACAAACAGUUUGUUUCAUUUACACCCCUAAAUUUACUAAUAGAUUAAAAUUGUUAAUGAUUUACUAACAAAUUUUAAGUCUAAUAGUAAAUUUCAACAUUAAUUAUUUUAUAAAUUUAUAAAUUCUCAAUAAAUUUUUAAAUCUGUUAAUAAUACCAAUGAAUUAUCAAUGGAUUUAAAAUUUGUUGAUAAAUUUUUAUAUAAUUUUUUAUACUAAAAAUUACUGAAAGAUUUUUAAAUUCGUUAAUAAAUCUAUUAAAAUUAUGUAUUGAUAAAUAAAUUACUAAUAGAGUAUAUUUAUAAAAUUUGUUUGUAAAAUGUGCUGAUAAAAAUAUCACAACUAUAACUUUUUCUUUUAGCAUGUUCCCACUAUCUCGCUUAAACCAUUAAAACGAUGUAUUACAUGAUACUGAGAUUUUGUAGCAUAGAAAAAUAUAUCAGAUUGCUAACAAGAAACUUCCUUUUAUAUUUAGUUUUGUAUAAGUAGCUCUAAAAGUGACUCUAUUUCUCUGCAACCAAAUUUAACACUUUCACAAAUAAAAUAUUUUUUCAUCUCUUUAUUAGUUGUUUAUAUAUUAUUAUUAUUAUUAUUAUUAUUAUUAUUAUUAUUAUUAUUAUUAUUAUUAUUGCAAAUAGGCAAUUAAAUUUGUGCUCCUAUUAUCUUAAUAUCAUAUUAUUAUAUGAAUAUAUUUAAUCAAAGUUAUCCAAAAAAAAUUAUAAUAAAAUAAAAUUAAAAAAAUAUAUCAUUUUAGUUGAUUUUUUUAUUGUAAUUGAAAUAUUCAAAUUUUUAUUGUAUUUAUUAAUAUCUGUUAUUUAAUAAAAUUAUUAUUAACAUAUUUUUUAAAAAAAAAUUAUUAUAGUCGAAUUAUAUAUAUAUAUAUAUAUUUAUAUCAAUCAUAAAUGUAUUAAUUAUUUUAUAAUUUUUUAAUUAUACGAGUAAAUUACGUAUUAGUAAUAUAAUAUAUAUUUAUAUAUUAGUUUCAUAUAUUUUUUAAUUAAAAUUAUAUAAUUAAUAACUACAUAAAAUAUUCUUAUCGAGAGUAGUUGUAUAUAAUAUAUAUAUAUAUUACUACAGUUAUUAUUUAAAUAUUAAUAUUAUUAUUUUAAUAUUAAUUAUUUACUAUUUUAAAAUAUACAUAAAAAGCUAUUAUGAUUUUAUUUGUAAAAAUUAAAAUUUAAAUUGAAAUGAAACUAAAAUUAAAGUAAAAAAAAUUAAAAUUAAAUUGAGACUGUACUGAAAUUACUUAGAACCGUAUCAAAACUAUACUGAAAGUUAGUUUCAAAGUGGUUCUAAACAUUAAAGUAUUCAAAAUUUGAUUUGAUUCUAGUUCUUAGCAACAACUAUAAUUUUUUCUUUAUAUUAAAAACUAUAAUUUUUCUUUUAUAUUAAAAUAUUAAAAAUUUAAUUUGAUUCUGAUUUUUAGUAAAAACUAUAAUUUUUCCUUUUAGGAUACUAUCUAGCUUGAACUAAUUAAGUAGUAUAUUUCUUAAUGAUGUAUUGUAUGAUAUUGAGAUUUUAUAGCAUAGACAAAUAUAUCUAAUUACAAACCUUAAUAUAAGUAAAUUAUUAAAACAUAUAAUAGUUUUAAUAAAAUAUUUAAUCUAUUAAAAUUUUAAUAUUAUAUUUGUUAAUAGAACAUAAAUUAAAUUAAAAUAGUAAAUUAAUAGAACAAAUCAAAUUAAAAUAUUUUAAACAAUAUAUAAUUGUAUAAUUUUUUAAUCCAUUCAAAUAUUAUAUUAUAAAUUAAUUAAAUAAAUUAUAUUAAUAAAAAUAAAUUAUAAAUUUUACAAUGUAAUUAUUAGUAUUUAUAAAUAAUAACGGGGUCUGAAAGUUAAAAAAAAGAGUAAAUAUUUAUUUUUUAAUUAAAUUUAUAUGGAAAUGGAUAUUUUUAAAAAUUUGUUUACAAAAUUGAUUUUAUUUUUUUCUUUUUAAAAACUAUUUAACAUCAACACAUCUAGGUUAGCUGCUAAAUUUAAUAGUCUGCUAAAGGAGAAUUUGAGAGCAACAUUACCAACCGAUCGUCUAUCAUUCCAAGAUUUUAUUUUCAUCUCAUUCCCCACAGCAAAUUUGAUAUGAUUAAAAGGAGAGAAGAAAGAUCUAAAUUUAAUUUUGUAAAGUAAACAACAACUGAUAUAGAUUCUUGGGUUCUGAAUCAUUUUGCAAUCAGUUUCCUACCUCUCAAUAUGUACCCUGUCAAACCCACCUUCUCUAACAAACCAUUUCCCAUGGAUGCAGAAUCAAAAAAACUUCAAGAAAGAUGCAUCAAGCAAAAAGAAAAAGGAUAUUACAAGGUUUAGAAAGUGGUAAAAACACAAAAUGUCUCAUUAUAUACUGCUGAAAGGAGAAAAGAAACAACCAAAAAAAAAUUGUAAUGGAGAUGGUGGGUUUACCAGCAACUUGAUGAUUAGAAAUCCAUGACCUCCAUUCAUCAACAAUCUUAUAUCAAAGAGAUCUAGUCCAUGUCUGAAUUCAAGCGAAAGGCACACACAUAUCAUGGUUUCCACCAAAGGUCAUUUGCGGUGUUAGAAAAUUUCAUUUUGUGAAAGAGAAUCACAGCUGAUUGAAAUUAAAAAUGAUAUUUGAAAAAGUUAGUUAAAUUACAUAUCUAUUAUAUUUGAAAAAGGUAAUUACCAAGUUGCGCUCCAAGACACACUUGAAUGGUCAAGAUAUAACAACUUUAGUUUGCUGAUCGCUCAUUGCGCACCUUUAAAAGCCUCAGAAUGAGAUCAUUAUUCCGCGAUAAAUGUACUACCAAUUCGGUGGUAGCAUCAUCAGCAGAGAACCCCUUAUCAACCAUUUCGUUGAUUAGUUCUGAUGCUUUUGGUAAAUCCUCAUGCUUGAGAAACCCUUGAAUGAUGAUAUUAUAACACCAAUUAUUCGGUAAACAUCCUCCCUUUUCCAUGUCUCUAAAAAUCUUAUACGCUUCAUCCAUUAAUCCUUGUUGGCAGAGCCCUUUCAUAAUUGCAUUAUAUACACAAAUAUCAGGCUGUAAACCAAUUUCAAAAAGACUAGAAAACAGUUCCUUGGCAUCAUUAAUCUUCCCAACUUUGCACAUACCAUUGAUCAGAAUGCUAUAGAUCACAAAAUUAGGCUUCAACUGACUUUUCUCCAUUGCUUUCAAUAGUGUGAGUGCUUCAUCGAGAUUCCCUUGUCUACACAAGCCAUCAAUCAUAAUUGAGAAGGUUACUAUAUCUGGCUGUUGACCAUGAGAGCACAUAUCCUUAAAGAGCUCUUUUACAUUUUGGGGCCUCCCCGCUUGAAACAUACCCUUUAUAAGAAUAGAAUAAGUAACAACAUCAAGAACUAAACCUUUAUGAGACAUUUCAUCAAAAAGCUCCUUUGCAUCAUCUAUCAUUUUGCACUUACAAUAUCCAUUGAUCAAAAUGCUGUAGCUAAAAAUGUUAGCUAUUUCAUUGGUCACCAUCAGAUCAAAUAGCUUUCUAGCCUUAUCAAUUUGCUUGCACAGACAAUAUCCAUCCAUCAAUGAAUUAUAAGUGACAACAUCAGGUUCCACACCUCUUUGAAUCAUUAUUUUGAUUAUAUUCUGUGCAAUUGAAACCAGUCCUUUCUUACAAAGAGUGUCGAUCAAUAUAUUGAAGGUAAAAACAUUAGGGGAUAUGUUCCUCCCCACCAUUUCUUUCAACAAGGCCAAAGCUUCCUUGAAUUGGUCUGAAAUGCAAAGACCAUCAAUUAAGGAAUUGUAGGUGACCACAUCAGGCUCUACACCUCUUUGAAUCAUUACAUUGAAUGUAUUUCGAGCCUCUGAAACCAUUCCAUCCUUACAAAGAGCAUCAAUCAAUACAUUGAAGGUAUAAACAUUUGGUAAUAUGUUGUGCUCCACCAUUUCAUUCAUCAAGGCCAAAGCUUGGUUCUUUUGGCCUAAUUUGCAAACACCAUGAAUUAAACUAUUGUAAGUGAUGACAUCAGGUGAAAUGCCCUUAUUCCUCAUUUGAGAGAAGAGCUCUAAAGCCUCACCAACUAGCUCAUCCUUGCAAAGGGCGUCAAUGAUUGCACUGUAUGUCACAACAUUUGGCUCACAACCUCUAUCAGUCAUUCCCUUUAGUAGCCCGAUAGCCACAUUUGUUUUCCCAAAUUUACAAAUUCCGUUUACUAUCAUAUUGAAAGUACGAACAUCAGGUUGAUAACCACGUGCAACCAUAUGAUCGAAAAAUUCCACUGCUUUAUCGAUUUUGCUCUCCAUACAAAGCCCAUUAAUUAAGGUAUUAAAUGUCACAGUGGUAGGCUCCAAUCCGAAUUUGAACAUCUUCCCGAAAACAGAGAAGCCAAAAUCCACAAGAUGUAAACGGCAGAAGCAAUUAAUUAAGAUGUUAAUAGAAUAAACAUCGUGAGAGAUUCCUACCAAUUCAAUUGUUUUGGACAUGGAAAGGACAGUGUGAUAUUGUUUCAUUUUCACAAGGGCAGAUAAGAAUCUAUUAAAAUGAACCCUAGAAGGCAGAGGAUGCUUAUGAAUUACAUGAUUGAAGGAAGCAAUGGCAUCAUCAAGGCGUGUAAAAGAAGCAGAUUUGAAGUUAUUUGUCAAGAAGCGUGCAUCUUCAAGUGUGGAAGUAGAAGAAUGGCAAUAAUUGGUAAAUAAGAAUAGGAAUGGAGAUUGAAUGGUACCGAUUGCCCCUUGUAGCUGAAGAUGGAAGCUCCUGCUCUUUCUCCUCCAAGGCAUCUUCAUCAUCAUCGAUCUCUCGUCAGUUGUUUUGAGUAUGGAUCGGAGAUUGGGAAUGAGGAAAGGAAAUAGAGAAUCGGAAAAGGAAGGCUCUCUGCGAGCUGGUAAAGUGGCAAGGAUAACAAAAGGAAAUUGGGAAUUGUUUAUAUGCGCCACAUUUUGUAAUUUUUUUAUUAAUUUUUCAUAUAAAAAUAUUAUUUAAUAACAAAUUAAAUUUAUCAUUUUAUAAUAAAUAAUUUUGUAAAUAUAAAUGCAAUUAAGUCUCACUUUUAUUGAAGUGUUAAAUAAUUUUAAUUUAAAAUUUUGGAUAAAUUAAAUCUCUAUAUUAUUACUAAAAAAUUAAAUAAAUCAUAAUUUAACAUAAUAUUAUUUUUUAAUAAUAAAAAUUUUUAUAUGAUAAAACUUUAUUUAUAUAAUUUUAAAAAUUAUGUAUUAUAUUUAUAUAUUUUUUAAAAUUUUUAAUUUUAAUUAAAAUACUAAAAUUUUAAUGUUUUAAAUUAUAAAAAGAAUAUUUUAUUAUUAAAAAAAUAAUAUUAAGUUAGAAUCUAUUUAGCCUUUAAUAAAAUUACAUAGUUUAAUUAGCUUAAAAAAUUUUAAAAAUUUUAAAUUGAAUUUAUGUGACUCUUAAUAAAAAUAUAGAGAUUUAAUUAAAUUUAUUUUCAUAAAAAUAAUAUUUUAUUAUAACCGUACCUUAUAUUUAAUUGAAUUUAUUUAAAAAUUAAUUAAUUUUGUUAAUUUUAUUUUUUUAAAUAAAAUAUUAUAAAUAUAAUUGUAGAAUAUUUAUUUUUUAUUUUAUUAAAUAAUAUUCCUUAUUUAAUAAAUAAUUAUCAAUAUAUAUUUUUAAAAAUAUUAUUAUAGUCUAAUUGUAUGUAAUAUAGAUGAGGAAAAGAUAAAUAGUUUAUUGUUUAAUUUUACUCUAAUAUAAUUAGAAAUUUAAAAUGACUAACUUUAUAUAAUUUUUUAUUAUUAAGUACUUUAUUUUUGUAUAAUAAAAAUUAAUUUUUUUUACAAAGCUUAACUCUCAUGAGAACUGUUUGGCACAUUUUUAUUUUGACAUUUUAUUUGAAUAAUAUUAUAAUUUUAAUUAAUAUCAGUAAAAAAUUAAUAUAUAAAGUUAUUUCAAAAUAAUAAAAUUUUGAAAUGUUAAACUCACUAAAUAUAUUUUGCAUUUUGAAAUUUUAUUUGUUAUUUUAUUUUAUUAUUAAUAAUAUUAACUUAAAUUUAUAAUAUUUAAUUUAUUUCUAUGCAUUUAAUAUACAGUAUAUUGUAUUAUAAAUUAUAAAAAAAAAUUUUAAAGUAUGAAUAUAUUUAUGUACAAAAUUUCAUAAAAAUUAAAAUUGUAAACAUUUUAUUAUAAGAUUACAUAAUAAAUGUUAAAUUAGAAAAUUAAAUUACUGUGUGAAUCUAAUUUUAAAAAUAUAAAAUUAUCAAAAAUUUAAUAUUUUUAUUAAAUAUUUAUGGCUAAAAAUUAUUAGUAUGAAUUAUUUAUUCCUAAAAUUUUAGCCACAAACUCAAAUAUUCAGCAUUAAAAAUAUUCAUACUUUUAAUGAUCUUUUAAGUUGCAAGUUUUAAAUUUUAGUUAGUUUUUUUAUAUUAAAUUGUAAUAAAAUUUUGAUUUAAAUUUUAAUAGAAAACUAAUAUAAUUAACCAAUCAAAUUAAAUAUUUUAAAUAACCAAUCAAAUUAUUAGAUUAUAAUAAACCUUUAUCUCUACCUAUUUACUUCUGAGGGCAAACUUUGUUUCUCUACUAGUGGUUAGUACUGCAGCCUUUCCCUAUCCCUUUUAAGUAAGGGAUGGCUUCCUCGAGUCAAGGAUAUGGGUUUACUCUCCUUGUCUCUAGGGCUGGGGUUUUUCUAUUUUUGCUUUUGCAGUUCUAGAUUUGGAGCUUCAUGGUGAGAGUAUUUUAAAGAUCAGUCUUGGUUUAGGCCAACUCAAAUGGUUAGGGAUAAUCGAGUUCGGUCAACAUUUCUAAAGUUCAAGCUUGUUAUUAAAAAAAAUUUACAAGUUCGAAUUUGAUUUAUAAAAUAUUUAACAAACUUGAACUUGAUUCGAGCGUGGCUCGUAGUGAGCUUGUAUUCAAGCUCAAUUAUUAGUUAGAGCUUAUAAAUAAUUGAAAAAUAAAAUUAAAUAAAAAUAUUUUAAAAUUAAAAUAUUUAAAUUUUCUCAUCGUUCCAUAUAAGAAUAUCAUAAUAUGUUAAAAAUCACGUACUAAUAUUGAAGGGAGGAGGGUGUAAUAUCCUCUGGACCCAUACCAGUGAAUAUUGUCCGCUUUGGGUCAAGGGAUUGAAACCCUGUCUUCCCUCACGGGUUUGUUUCCGGGUCAAAGGAUUUGAUACCCUAUUUUCCCAAAACGCGUCCACUGGGGUCUCUUUGGGCAAGGUUUAUAAGGCCCUCUCCCCUUUAAACCUCUUUCCGAUGUGGGAUACUUUUAAUCCACCUACAUGGGGUUUCUUCCCCCCAUAAGGCCUGAGCGUCCUCGCUCAGCACACCGUACUCAUGAGGCCUAGGCUCUGAUACCACUUGCGCUAGAAAACCCUGACAACCCCUCUGGAGCAACCUACGAGCCUGUAGGGCUGAUAUCAGACCUCUAGGCGUACCCCUCUUGUCUCCCCUGAAGACAACCUCUGACCCGUCCUGACCUCUGAACCUGACUACCUUGUCUCUGCAAUCCAAGGUAGCACCAUGGGUAGAUAGUCAAUCCAUCCCUAGAAUAACAUCAAAGUCAGUCAAGUCUAGAACCACAAGGUCGGCUGGAAGGCAUCUCUCCUCUAUAAACACUGGUCUAAACCGGCAGAUGUUGAGAUCUCAGGGGAUCUCACUUAUGUGGAGCAGCCAGUACGGAUUCUUGACACUCAGAUCAGAAAGUUGAGAAACAAGGAAAUACCGAUGGUGAAUGUAAUACCCGGCUAGUUCAGGCAUCGAAAUUUCUACCGUCCGGUGGAAUCUCGGAUGUCGGAGUCUUCCUGAAGGGUAGAGUGAAGGUUUUCUAAAAUAUUUUUAAGUAUUUUAAAGUGUUUUAAGGUUUUAGUUUAGAAAAGAGUUGAGUUUUAAAGAGAAAAGACCAAAAGAGUUUCUGCCAAGUUUGGCCCCCGAAAGUAAUGUUCAGCCGCCGAAAGUGCCUUAGAUUCGGCCUCCGAAACUUCAAGUUCGGCCGCCGAAGGUUGUGUGGUGUCGCAUGCAGCUUUGGCCACCGAGUGUGAGGCGGUUGAUCGCCUAUAAGGGUUCUUCUGGCCGACAAUGGAGGUGCUUGAGCUCUCCUUUGGGUCAGAAGCAGGUUCAUGUUCUCCUUUGGUGAUUUUCAUAGGUUUUCAUCAAAUUUUUCAAAGUUAAGUAAGUUUUAAAUGAGUUUUAUAUUGGUUUUGAAUAGUUUUGGAAGUUAGAGACUUGUGGAGCUUGGAUCUCCAUAUCUUCACGUUUGGAUCACACCAGCCUUUGUUCUUCAGGAGGUAAGUGUUGAUCUUUAGUCUUUAUAGUGUUUUAAGCAAGUUUUGUGGAGGUUAUGGGUAGAGUUGCAUGAGUAGGGUUUAUGAUGUAUUUUUGAUGUUUUAUUGAUGAAAGCAUGUUUAAGUGUUGUGUGAUGUUAGUUGUUGGGGCUUUAAGGUAGUUUUUGACCCCUUUGUGCAUGUACUUGGGUAUAUGCUUGUGGUGUUGAGUUAGGUGCAUGUUUGAGUGAGAUUGAAGAAGUUGUGCAUAAGUUGAAGCAAGGUUCUGCCUUCUGGAGAACCCAGCUUCGGCCGCCGAAGGGAGGAUUCGGCCGCCGAACCUGCUGAAGAGGUGGUUUCGGCUGCCUAAGGUUGCCCCUGAAGGAUUGGACUUUUGGAUCUGUCAUGCACAUUCGGCCGCCGAAGGUGCCGCCGAACAUGCAUGAGGUUCGGCUCUGGAGGGAGCAUUCGGCCGCCGAAGGUGUCCUGUUCAGCUUUCUUUUGCAUGUUUAAUGUGAUUGUUUUAGAAUCUUUUAAGGGAUUUUUGGAGAGUUCUAUAGAGUUACUAUUAAGCUAGUUUGACACCUAAUUCGAGUCCACUUGUGUAGGUUUGGACUCGAGAGAUCAAGGAGGUCAUCAGUGUUAGUUGUUGCAGAGUCAGUUCAGUUUUCUGCUUGAGGAGCAGAGGUGAGUGGAACUAAACUUAAUUCUUUUAAUUGAGAAAUGGAAUGUUUUUAGCAUAUUUCAUGCACCAUGAUUAUACAGUAGGUUGAUUGCAUUAGAAUCCACGAAUAUGUUACAUUGCAUACUUAUUUGUUGGUGUGGGUGAAUGCUGAAUGAUCCAAUAGUUCCAGACAGGAAGUCCAGGACCCCAUUCUACGGCCUGGCAGGUAUAGGAAAGUCCAGGACCCCAUUCUACGGCCUGGCAGGUAUAGUAAAGACCAGGUGCCCAGUCUAUGCCUUGGCAAAUGGUAAGUACAGGUGUUAUAUACACAUAUACAUAUACGGUACAGGAAGACCAGGACCCCAGUCUACGGCCUGGCACGGAACAUUUACUGGGACUAUGUGGUGACAGGUUUACCCUUGAUGUGAAUUGUUUGUGUUAUGAUGCAUUCCAUAAGAUCAUGUUUUAAUGACAUGUUUUACUGUUCUACUCACUGGGCAAUAGAGCUCAUCCCACUCCCUUAACCCCAGUUUUGCAGGCAUCAGAGAUCAGGGCAGUUCAGCAGAGUACAGGAAAAAUAAAGAGUCUUGUAAUAGUAUAGUGGUGGACAUGAUGUAUAUUAAAGGAUAACUGUAAAGUUAUGUCUUUUAGUAAUUAUGUAUAGAGAUGUACUAUUAGAUAAUGGAUAGAAUUGUGCUUUUCCCUAGUGUUUGUUUUAUCUUAGUGUGGUGUAUGAUCUAUUUCUUUGUACAUGAAUCCUGUUUUACGUUUCUUGAUGAGAAAUGGAUGAAACCAGGUUUAAUGUAUUGCUUUGUUGAGACACCAGUGGGUUGUGUUUGGGAAGAAAGGGUAUCAAAUCCCUUGACUCACAGUGGUCAGUAGUCACUGGUGAAGGCCCUGAGGGCCAUUUCAGAUUGUAUAUCUGAGUGAUAGCAGUUAAGCCUGGUAGUUCUACAGGAUUAUUGUUUAUGUUUGACCAUGUACAGGUUUUAUCAGGUACACAGAGUUCAGGAUAGGCUUACUACGGGUCCCGGCGGCCUUAAGCCGAUCUGGAUCCUAGUGCCAGUGAUGGUUUGGGCCGUUACUAAGGGGUACCGGUUUUCGGGUCGUUACAGUGAAGGUCCUUUGGAAUCACCACAACAUAGAGGAAUGUACGUGGGAGACACGGAAAUCUAUGCUCCAACAAUAUCCUCAUCUCUUCUAAGGUUAGUGCUAUGUGUUUUAUGUGUAUGUUUGUGUUUUAUGCUAUGUUAAGCUUGUUUGGUGAACAUUCGGGGACAAAUGUUCUUAAGGGGGGGAGAAUGUAAUACCCGGCUAGACUCCGGUAUCGGAAUUCCUACCGUCCGGUGGAAUCUCGGAAGUCGGAGAUUUCUAGAAGGGUAAAAUCAUGUUUUCAUAAAAUGUUUUAAUGUAUUUUAAGGUUUAAAGUAAGAAAGAAAUUAAGUUUUGAAUGAAAAUGCCAUGGAAGGAAAACCCAGGUGCGGCCGCCGAACUUGCAUGAGUUUAGGGGGCGGCUUCGGCUUCCGAAGGUUGCCUGGUCAGCUCCUAUAAAGGACCUCAUAGCCAAAAAUGGGCGAGUUUUCUUCCCCAUUUCCGGCCAGAGGUGAGUCCAUGCCCUCCCAUGAUUGGUUUUGAGUAUUUUCCUCAAAUCUUUCAAGUUUUAACAAGUGAUUGCUUGGUUUUUGAAGAUUUUGGAACUAAAGAGCAAGCUUUGGAACUUGAAGACUAAAGAGGCUAGAUCUCUCCCAUCUCCAAGUUAGGAUCUUUCUCCUCUCGAUCUUCAAGAAGUAAGAGUAGAUUUUUAGCUCGUUUUAUGUUUUAAACUAGUUUUAUGAAAGUUUGUGGGGUAGAAAUGCAUGUUUAGGUUGAUGUUGAAAAUGUGGAGUUUAUGCUCAAUGUAUGAUGUUUUGAUGGUUUGAUGUGUUGUUGUUGGGGUUUAGGAUAGUUUGAGACCCCUAUAGGCUUAUUAGUAUGUAUAUGCAUGUUGUAGAAUGGCUUAGGACAUGUUUGAAUGGUUUGGGAGGCAAAUUAUGCAUGAAGAGGCUGAGUUCUGCCAUUUGGAAGAACUCAGGUUCGGCAGCCGAACCUGCCUGUGGAGGCAAGCUUUUGGCUGCCGAACCCUGCCCCCGAAAGUGGACUUUCGGCUCUGGAGGGGACUUUCGGCCGUCGAAGGUGCCGCCGAACAUGCAUGAGUUUCGUCUCUGGAAGGGACUUUUGGCCGCCGAAGGUGCCGCCGAAAGUGGCUGAGUUUCGGCUCUGGAGGGACUUUCGGCUGUCGAACCUGCCGUCGAAAGUGCCCUGUUCAGCCUUCCUUUGCAUGAAUUCCAUAAUUAUUUUAUGAUGUUUUAGGGGGUUUUUGGGGAGUUGUUUAGAGUUAUGUCUUUGUAUGUUUGGUCCCUCAUCUGAGUCCACCUGUGUAGGUUCGGACCCGAGGAACCGAGGAUCCCAGCAGUGAGAUAGCUGCUUCAGAGUCUUUAGAGCAUCAGCCAGAGGUGAGUAGAAUAACUCCUUAUGUUUCAAAAUAAAUAAAUCAGUUUUGAGCAUGUUCAUGCAUCACGAAUGCCAUGAGAUAUAUUAGGAUGUUUGCAUUAGAAUUCACGAAAUAUGUUGCAUUGCAUAAUAUGAUGAUGAUGUGGAUGGGUAUUGGAUGAUCCUCUAGUCCUCGUAUGAUAUGGUAUGAUGAUGUUAUAGUAUGGAAGUCCAGGUCGAGGCCCAUUCUACGCCCCUGACACUAUGUUAAGAGAAAGACCAGGUCGAGGCCCAUUAUACGCCCCUGUCAUUAUUGGAAUAUUAUGUUAUGUUAUGCUGUGUUAAGAGAAAGACCAGGUCGAGGCCCAUUCUACGCCCCUGGCACUAUUGAAUAUGUAGAGGACUAUUGGUGACAAGUCCAUCCUUGUUGUGAAUUGUUUGUGAUGUGAUGCAUUCCACGAAAUCAUGUAUUUUAAAUAUAAUGUUUUAUUAUUCUGCUUACUGGGCUCUUGUAGCUCACCCCUUUCCCUUAACUCCCAGGUUUGCAGGUACAGAGUAGACCAGGAGGUCAUCAAGAGUAAAGUCUGGUUUAUGUAAUAGUUAGCAGUUUGUGUACAUGUGUUGUAAUAUGUAAAAGUAUUGAAAUGUAAUGUUAAAAGUAUAUCGAGGAUAGAAUUGUGCUUGGCCCUAGUGUAUGUUAUUUUCCCUUGUAGUACAUGAUCUUAAAUGUUAUAAUAAUGUUUUUAUGAGUUAUGAAACUAACUUGACAUAUGUUAUGUGAACCCACUAGAGCAUUUGAUGAGGGCUCUAGUUGGGGUUUUAUGUUUAUGUUUAUGGUGCAUGCACAGGUCAAGCUUGGUUGAUGAAAAAGUUUAAAGUUUUUAUGAAAAUGUAUGAUCAUGUGUGGGAUUGUAACAGAUAUUCAUGAUGUAUGUUAGGCUUGCUACGGGUUCCGGCGACCUUAAGUCGAUCUGGAUCCUAGCGCCGGUAGCGGUCCGGUUUUCGGGUCGUUACAGAGGGAUCUUCUUUUUUUAUAGGGAAUGAGAACUCUUCGUCUCUUAUAAUUUAUUAUCGAUGUGAGAUUAAAAUUAAAUAGAUAUAAAUAAAUUUAUAAACAGACAGUAAAAUUAAAUGACACAAACGGAUCGAUAACUAUAAUUAUCUUUUUAACCAUAUAGUUCUUAUACCUAUUUUAUAUCAGUCAAAUAAUUCUAUGCAUUCUAAUAAUAGGCAUCAUUCCAAAGUGUUAUAUCAGUCAAACAAUCAUAUGCAUUCCAAUAAUAGACAUUAUUCCAAAGUGUUAUAAAAGAAAAAAAAUCAUCUUGCAUGAAUAACAGUUUCAACCAAAGGAGAAAUACAACAUCAUGAAUGUUUCUUCAAUUUUAGCUUCAAAAGUCUUAAGAGUUUAAAAGACAUCUUAUUGUAAAGAUAUGAAUCAACAACUUCUUAAUUUGUAUUGAUAAUGCCGUAAUUUUUCCAUUGACAAUCAAAUAAAAAUCCGUUGGUAAAUGAAUUAACAAUGGAUUACUAACAGAUUACGAUCCAUUAAAAAGUUCGGUGCUAAAUUUUUAUUAACAGCUUUCAAGUUUGUUAGUAAUACUAGUAGAUUUACUAACGGAUUAUUACCAAUAAAUUUUAAAUUACUAACAAAUUUUAAAUCCAUUAGUAUUUUGGAUUAUUACCAAUAAAUUUUAAAUUACUAACAAAUUUUAAAUCCAUUAGUAUAAAGAAAAAAAUAAUUUAUUAACAGAUGUGAAAUCCGUUAGUAAAUUAUCAAUGAAUUGCAAUCCAUUAGUAUAUCUAUUGAGAGUUUAAAUAAUUUUUUAUUAAUUUAAUAAGACUUAAAAUUAUAUUAUUAUUGUUACUAAAUUUUUAAUUUAUAUCCAAUAUUUAUUAGAAAUACAUAGAAAGUUAAAAAAAAAAACAGUAAAUGGUACAAAAUGAGAGAAAAUAAUAAAAAAGAAAGAAAAAAGAGAAAAAUAAAGAAAAUGAUUGAAAAAUAAAAAUUAUGAAAAAGAAGAAAGAAUGAGAGUUGAGUAAAAAGAUGAUUAGAGAAAUGAAAAAAAGUGAACAAAUGAUUAGAGAAGAAAAUAAAUAAAGAGAAAAUAAUAGAAAAAAUAUAGAUAGAAAGAAAAUGAUAGAAGAAAAUAAUAUUAGAAAAACUAAUAUGAAUGAAAAUUAUAGAGAAAAUGAAGAAGAUAAGAGGAAAGGAAAGAAAAAGAUGGAAAAGAAAAUGGAGAAAAUGAAAGAAAAAUUAUGAAGAAUGAAAAAAAUAAUAGAAGAGGAAAGAGAAUGAGAGAAAAUAGGAUAAGAGAUGAAAGAAAAAUAAUAGAAAAAAUAAGAAAAAAACUUAUGAGAUAAAAAAGUGAAAUGAAAGAAAGUAAUAGAAAAAAAAAAAUGAGAGAAAGAGAAAAAAAAAGGAAGAAAGGCACAUGAUAAGAUGAAUGAAUGAUAAAGGUAGAGGAGUUAUUGUUAUAUUUAUAAAUGCAAAUUACUAAUAAAUUUGUAAUUCGUUACUAAAUUUAAAAAAAAAACAAUCUUUUCUACCUAAAAAUUAUCAAUAAAUUUGAAAUCUAUUAAUAAAUGCAAUUGAAAAAUGUAAGUUGUAAAAAAAAAAACGCAGGAAUUUUAUAUAGGAUUUUAUUUUAAAUUUAUCAAUGGAUUUACUAGCGGAUAGUAUCCGUUGAUAAAUUUAAUAUUUUUUUAUUUAUUAAUUUAAUGAUAAAAUUUAGUAAUAGAUUUUUAAAUUCGUUAGUAAUUUUUUGAAUAAAUUAUCAAUGGAUUUAGAGUUUGCUAGUAAUUUAAAUAUUUUUAAAAAUUUAUUUAGGGUGUAAACGAAUCGAGUAGAGCUGAACUUUAAAAAGUUCAAAUUUAGUUCAUUAAAAUUUUUUUAAGUUCGAGCUAAACUCGAAUUUUACUCAUUUCGAACUCGAACCGAUUAUUAAUAAGUUCAAACUUGACUCUUUUAGCAAAUAAAUUUAGACGAGUCAAGUUUUUAUCGAGUUUAGUCUCGAAUAAUUCACCAAUAGUUUAAUUUAUUUACACGUAUAAUGAGUUUUAAUUUAAAACUAAUUAGUUUAAAACUAAAUAAUUUUAGCUAAAUAAAUAAUCCAAAUAUAUAUAAGUUUUAAUAGUAUAAUUAAACAAUAUAAAAUUGAACUUUAUAAAAUUUAGAUUUGACUCAUAAAAGUAUAUGUAAGAUUUGAAUUUAUUUCUCUUAUAAUAUUAAUCUGAGUCUGCUUAACGAGACUAUUCACGAGUCUAUUUGCGAGUCUGCUCAUAACUCGAACGCGAGCCGAACGAGUCUUAACGAGACGAAUACUAUGAAACUUAAGUUUGCCUCAUUUAUUAAAUAAAACUAAAAAUUAAGUUUGAAUUUGGUUCGUUUAGAGAUCGAGUCGAGCUCGGUCAAGUUUUUAUCGAGUCAAACUCGGUCAAGCUUUUAUCCAAUCGAAUCUCGAAUAGCUCACAAACAGUUUAUUUCAUUUACACCCCUAAAUUUACUAACAGAUUAAAAUUGUUAGUGAUUUACUAACGGAUUUUAAGCUUGUUAGUAAAUUUCAAUAUCAAUUAUUUUAUAAAUUUAUAAAUUUUCAAUAAAUUUUUAAAUCUGUUAGCAAUACUAAUUGAUUACUAACGGAUUUCAAAUUCAUUGGUGAAUUUUUACACACUUUUUAUAUUAAGAAUUACUGAAGGAUUUCUAAAUUCGUUAAUAAAUCCGUUAAAAUUAUUAAUAGAUUAAAGUACAUUGUUAAUAAAAUUUGUUGAUAAAAAUAUCAGAACUAUAGCUUUUCCUUGUAGCAUGUUGCCCACUAUCUCGCUUGAACCAUUAAAACGAUGUAUUGCAUGAUGCUGAGAUUUUGUAGCGUAGAAAAAUAUAUCAGAUUGCUAACAAGAAACUUCCUUUUAUAUUUAGCUAACAUUUUGAUAAAAGCGACUCUAAAAUCUUGUCUGAUGGCCUCUGUUAUCUCUGUAUAAAUGUCCAUUUGGUUCCAAAAUCUCCAAUAAACCACUCUAUUUCUCUGCAGCCAAAUUUAACACUUUCACAAUCUAAACAAUAUUUUACCAUUAUUUUUUUUAUCUCUUUAUUAAUUUUUUAUAUAAUAUUAUUAUUAUUAUUGCAAAUAGGCAAUUAAAUUUGGGCUCCUAUUAUCUUAAUCACAUUAUUAUAUGAAUAUAUUUAAUCAAAGUUAUCCAAAAAAUUAUAAUAAAAUAAAAUUAAGAAAAUAUAUCAUUUUAGUUGAUUUUUUUAUUGUAAUUGAAAUAUUCAAAUUUUUAUUAUAUUUUCUAAUAUCUGUUAUUUAAUAAAAUUAUUAUUUAAAUAUAUAUUUUUUAAAAAAAUUAUUAUAGUCAAAUUAUAUAUAUAUAUAUAUAUAUAUCCAUGUGUGUGUAUUUUUUUUAUAUCAAUCAUAAAUGUAUUAAUUAUUUUAUAAUUUUUUAAUUAUAUGAAUAAAUUAUGUAUUAGUAAUAUAAUAUAUAUUUAUAUAUUAAUUUCAUAUAUUUUUUAAUUAAAAUUAUAAGUAAUGACUACAUAAAAUAAUAAAAUAUUCUUAUAUAUAUAUAUAUAUAUAUUACUGUUAUUAUUUAAAUAUUAAUAUUAUUUAUUUUCAUAUUUUCAUAUCAUUCCAAGAUUUUAUUUUCAUAUCAUUCCCCACAGCAAAUCUGAUAUGAUUAAAAGGAGAGAAGAAAGAUCUAAUGUGUAAUAGUUAGAUGAUGCUUUAAAGCACCAAGUUUAUCCCAUAGUUUAUUCAAUUUUGUAAAGUAAACAACAACUGAUAUAGAUUCUUGGGUUCUGAAUCAUUUUGCAAUCGGUUUCCUACCUCUCAAUAUGUACCCUGUCAAACCCACCUUCUCUAACAAACCAUUUCCCAUGGAUGCAGAAUCACAAAAACUUCAAGAAAGAUGCAUCAAGCAAAAAAGAAAAAGUACAUUACAAGGUUUAGAAAGUGGUAAAAACAUAAAAUGUCUCAUUAUAUACUGCUGAAAGGAGAAAAGAGACAACCAAAAUAACUUUUCUUGCCUAACUUAACUAACAUCUCAAACAGUAAGAAAUAAUGCGUUUCACAUUCAUAACACCAAUAAAUGUAUCGCAAAAUGCACCAUAUAAAUAACUCAAACGGUGGUCCAACACUAAAAUAUAUCCGUUAUAUACCAUAUUGACAAAGAGAACGUUUGCUUUUCCCUCAAUUCCCAUAAAAUUUUCUGUUUAUAAUUUUAGUGACAUUUCAUCCAACCAACAGCUGUAGAAGUCUAGUGAUUCUCUUACCUUGUAUUUUGGGACCGUAUAUCCUGCGCCCUGCAUUUAUAGUGUAGUAUAAUUAUUAAAUCAAUUCUCAAUUAAAGCACACUGAUUUAUAAUCAUUAGUUUCAUUAUUAUUAAAAAUUAUAAUAACUAAGCAAAAAUGAAUUGCUUGUACCUUUAUGGUUAGAAAGGUGAAGUUGUAGUCAUAUCCUUGCAAGUACCUACAAGAGAAAUGAUAGCAUUUUGAAAGGUCAUUGAGCACAAAAAUAAAAGUAGAUAAAAGAUUCUUAGGCAUUGUAGUAUGGAACCAAUUAGUUUUAGUUCUCAACUCAAUUUUAGGACUGAGCUCACGAGUAAAGGCUGUAGUAGCAGCCAAAAAAAAAUUGUAAUGGAGAUGGUGGGUUUACCAGCAACUUGAUGAUUAGAAAUCCAUGACCUCCAUUCAUCAACAAUCUUAUAUCAAAGAGAUCUAGUCCAUGUCUGAAUUCAAGUGAAAGGCACACACAUAUCAUGGUUUCCACCACAGGUAAUUUGCAACGUUCGAAAUUUUCGUUUUGUGGAAGACUCACAGCUGAUUGAAAUUAAAAAUGAUAUUUGAAGAAGUUAGUUAAAUUACAUAUCUAUUAUAUUUGAAAAAGGUAAUUACCAAGUUGCGCUCCAAGAUACACUUGAAUGGUCAAGAUAUAACAACUUUAGUUUGCUGAUCCCUCAUUGCGCACCUUUAAAAGCCUCAGAAUGAGAUUAUUAUUCUGCGAUAAAUGUACUACCAAUUCUGUGGUAGCAUCAUCAGCAGAGAACCCCUUAUCAACCAUUUCGUUGAUUAGUUCUGAUGCUUUUGGUAAAUCCUCAUGCUUGAGGAACCCUUGAAUGAUGAUAUUAUAACAACAAUUAUUUGGUAAACAUCCUACCUUUUCCAUGUCUUUAAAUAACUUAUACGCUUCAUCCAUUAAUCCUUGUUGGCAGAGUCCUUUCAUAAUUGCAUUAUAUACACAAACAUCAGGCUGUAAACCAAUUUCAAAAAGACUAGAAAACUGUAACAGCCCGGAAGCCGAACUGCUACCGGCACUAGGAUCCAGAUCGGCUUAAGGCCGCCUAGACCCGUAGUAAGCCUACUGUGAACUCUGUGUACCUGUGAAAUCCCAUACAUGAUCAUACAUUCUCUGUAAAAAUUAAAACUUUCUUUCUCCACGGCUUAACCUGUGCAUACUCUUCUUCUAUACUAUAAAAAUAUGCCAGAGCUCUCAUCUUUGCUCAAGGCAGUUACAUCUCAUACUAUGUUAAGCCUGGUUUUUCAUACAUAAAACAUAGAACAUUUACAUAAACUGAUCAUGUACAUACAUAUGGGAUAACUACUCAUAUACAUCAAGCACCAUCUAUACUCUGUACAUACACUAGCUCUUUACCAUUACAUGUCCAUUCUAACUAUUACAUAUCUCUAUUCUCUAUACAUUCUUCCUGUACCAUUCUUACAUCUCUCUGAACUCAGAACCUGCAAAACUGGGAUUAGGGGAGAGGGGUGAGCUUCUAUAGCCCAGUGAGCAGGAACAACAAGAAAAACAUUAAAACAUAUGCCAUCAUGAAUGCAUCAAGCACGGACAUUUCACAUCACGGAUGGACUGAUUCAAAAAUCCCUUAGCUCUAUGCCCGGCCCUAAAGAGAGUACCACAGGACUUCGUACUCAAUAUGCCCGGCCUUAAAAAAGGCACCACAGGACUUCGUGACUCAGAGCUAUUGCCCGGCCCUAUUAUGGGCACCACAGGACUUCGUAUACCAUAAUCAGAGGGCUAAUGAAUCAUCCUAAUGUCCAUCCACACCAUCAAUCAUAUCAAUGCAAUGCAUCAUCUUCGUGGAUUCUAAUGCAACAACCUAAUAUCACAUGGCAUUCAUGAUGCGUGUCUCAUGCUCGUACUAUUAUUAUCUUUAAACAUCAUUUUAAAACAUGCAUAGUUAGUCCCACUCACCUCUGGCUGACUUUAGACUGACUCUGCAGGUUCUGUAGCAGUACUCACUGCUGAUCUCUCUGAUUUCUCUGAUCCGUUCCUACACAAUUGGACUCAGGUGAGGAACCAAACUAACUCAAUAACAUACCUAAGAACUCCCCCAAAAGCCCUCUAAAAGACCUUAACUCUAUCACAUAAAACAUGCAAAAAGGGGCUGGACAGGGCACUUUCGGCGGCAGGUUCGGCGGCCGAAACUCCCCUCCAGAGACGAAACUCACCUACUUUCGGCGGCCGAACCUCUACUUUCGGCGGCCGAAAGUCACUUACUCUCCUUCGGGUGCACAUUCGGCAUCUGAAAGUCUCAUCCAGAGACGAAACUUAACCUUCGGCGGCACUUUCGGCGGCCGAAUGUGCAUGACAGAUCCGAAAGUCCAACUUCCGGAAGCAGCCUUCGGCAGCCGAAGCCACCUCUUCAAGGCAUUCGGCAGCCGAACCUCCCUUCGGCGGCCAAACCUGGUUUCGCCCGAAUGGCAGAAACCUGCUCUGCUUCCUGCACAACUCCUCCUAUCCUUCACGCAACAUGCACACACAACUCCUCAACAUGCAUAUACACUUGUACAUGCACAAAGGGGUCCAAAACUAGCCUAUAACCCCAAAAAAACACAUCAAACAACACUUAAAACAUGCUUAACACAUAAAUCAUCAAAACCCUCCUAUAAACCUAAUCAUGCAUACUACCCUAUAAACUUUCACAAAACCUUUAAAAAACAUGUUAGAAGCUUAGGAUCUAUCCCUUACCUCUUGGAAAACUUGAAGUUAAACGACUCUAAUGUGGAGUUGUGAAGAAAAUCCCUUCCAAAGCUCCAAGCUUCAAAACUCACUCUUUUUGCUCAAAACUUCAAAACAACCAUAAAACCUUUAAAACUCAUGGAAGAUUUAGUGAAAAACUCAAAAAUCAUGAAAGUCAACGUGGAGAGGUUUUGCUCACCUUUGGCUGCUGGUAGGAGGAGAAAUAUCCUCCUCUCACAGACCCUCGGGCCUUUUAUAGGUGGCUGGCCAGACCACCUUCGGCAGCUGAACGUGAAGCCGAAACCAUGCAAUGUUCAGCGGCCGAAAGUGACAUUCGGCGGCCGAACAUUAGCAUUUCUCCCUUAUUAUUUUUUUAUUCCAAAAACUCACUUCUCUAACCCUUUAAAACCUUUAAACUCUUUUAAAACAUUCUUUAAAGCAUUAAAACAUAUCUAAUACCCUUCUAGAGAAUCCCGACACCCGAGAUUCCACCGGACUACAGGAAUUCCGAUGCCGGACUCUAGCCGGGUAUUACAUUCUCCCCCCCUUAAGAACAUUCGUCCCCGAAUGUUCCUCAAACACAUCAUAAACACAUAGAAAAGGGGAAAACUAACUUCUAAACAGACAUAGGUAUUGCUGGAACAUAAACUUCUGUGUCUCCCCGGUGCAUUUCUUUUAGAUAAUAGUGGUUCACCAAAACUUUACCAUCGGAACUUCUCUGUUUCUUAACUGCCUGAUCAUUCCCCUUAUAGUGAACCCUCACUUACAUUGGAGACACCUUCAGCAAUACCAUAACUCUCGCCUAAAACUCUAUACUUGGCAACUUGACCAUCUCUGUUCUUCCACUGUUUCUGAGCCACUUGUUCCAGAAACACUGGUGUAACUUCCAUCUGCACCCUUCAUGCAUCAGUACCCAAUACUCUAACUAACCAUCCUUCAUCACCUAUCCUCUAACUCCGCAAGCUUUCGCUGUGCACUCUGAUCCUUGCCCUUCUCUCUUCAUCUCUUCUAACCUGACUUCCUUUCUAACUCUUAACAGGUAGUAACCCCGUUCGACUGCUCUCAAUCGUACAAGGCCUUAAGGAUUUAUCCUUCGUUUCCCCCAUUCCUACUGGAACAUUCCAGAGUGAGGUACUAGGUCGGAUAAAACCCUUAUCUACCAAGACUAUCAACUAUACUCUUAACUCUCUUAGCUCUGUUGGUGCCAAACGUUAACUCUGUCUGCAGGCACUGAAACUGAUUUCCUAUCCUGAUCAUCUUACUUUCUCUCAUAAGCUACAAACCCCUGAUCACCCCUUCCUGGGCAACCUAUGAGCCUGUAGGGCUGAUAUCAAACCUCUGAGCAUCUAUACUCUGUCCCUCCUUAGGGAUUACCUCUGAUCCAUCCUAUACUCUGAACAUAUCUACCUUGUCUCUGCAGACUCGGCAGCACUACGAGUAGCUAGCCAAUCCAUUACUAGAAUGACGUCUAAACAGUCCAAUCUAGAACCAUAGGGUUAAAUGGAAGGCAUCUACUCACCACUAACUGACUCUAUCAUUGAUGGAUCACUCUGGAGUCUACUAACUCCACAACACUCUAAGCCCAGAAGCUAUCAGACCUACUCUCUCUAUGGUUCUAAAACCAACAGGGGAAAAACAUCAGAGCUUAAACAGACAUACACAUCAAAACAUCCAAAGAUGUAGUUACCUGACACCCUGGUGUUAAACGUGUCUGCCUCUUGUUGUGUCAUAGUAAAGAUCUGAGCCAGAGCUGACGGACCUUCACCUCGGGAACCCACAUGUGAAGGGGUUGACCCUCUUCCUCUACCUCUGCUCUGUGUCGUGGCUGGAGCUACUGGUCGUGGUACACUUCCCAAAGUUGUCUGAUGGGACGGUGCUGUGAAAAAUGCCUGAGGGCACUCACGAGCCAUGUGUCAUUCCUGGCCGCACCUGAAACAUCCUGUAGUCCCAAAACGACAACUUCCUCUAUGCAAUCUUCCACAUCUCCCACACAUUGGAACCUCUGUACCUGUUCUCGAACCACUAUCUAAACUCAGACCUGCCUUCAGCUUAUUCCCGAACUUACCCCUCUUUGAUCUCCUAAAACCUCUUUCUCCCUUAUUACUCUUAGUAUCUGCUUCGUUCAAAGAGGAGAGAUCAACAUCACCUGUCUCCAGGUUCUUGGGACCUGAGGACUGUGCCACAGACUGCUUGACUGUUCCUUGUAUAAUGGCACUGGCCUCCAUCUUCCUAGCUGCGUCCACUAUCGAGUAGAAACUCUCCUUCUCCGCCGGAAGGAUCAAGGAGAAAUACCUAGGGUGAAGCCUUGUGGCAUUUCUCCUUGCCCUCUUCUGAUCCGUGUCAUACGCCUGACCCACGUAUGGUAACAUUUCCAGGAACUUGUCCGUAUACUCAUCCACGCUCAUCUCUUCCGUUUGCCUGAGCUGCUCAAACUCUACUAUCUUCCUUUCCCUGGAACUGUCCGGAAAAGCCCAGCCGGCGAACUCAUUCGCAAACUCCUCCCAAGACAUACUGUCUAUCCUGGGGUCUACAUAACUCUUAAACCAUUCCCUGGCUUUUUUACACUUUAACGUAAACCCUGCCAUCUCUAUAGCUCUACAAUCAUCCGCUCCUAACUCACUUGUAAUCAUCCUAACUGCAUUGAGAUACUCAAAGGGAUCAUCCCCAGUAUUGAACUUAGGAGCGUCCAACUUCAAGUACUCAGUCAUCUUCACCUUACUUCCCCCUGAAGAACCGGGUUGCUGUACUUCCACCGCAGGGAUUACUGUUUCUGGUGGUGGUGGAGGUACUGUUUGUCUAGGUCCGGAAUAUGCUGAACUUGGUUGAAAAGGUGGGGGUGGAUACAUGUAGUAAGGUGGAUAAAAAGAAGGAUAUGGCAUAUAAGGCAUGUAGGGUGGAUAUGGGGCAUAGCUAGAGUAAUCCGACGUACUUCCCAUCGGAUACUCGGGGCCCUGUGCUCUUCCCUGGGACUCCCCCUACCUUCCUCAGACCUUCUCACACCCAUGCUUUCAUCUCCUCUCAGCUCUACUUCUACAGCUUCUCUUACUUCCUCUAAUCUUCCUCCUCUACUUACUCCUCUUCUGCUCUCGUCCGGAGACCUCCUAGGGUCUCGUGACGUUCCCUCCCCGCUUAACCUAUGCGUCCUUGCCCUUGGAACUGCAGGAGGACGAGCAGCUGUUCCCUCUCUAUCUAGUGGUACUCCAGUCAAUCUCGCGGAUCGACGAGUUCCUCGCAUCUUAACUAUCUGAAAAGCAACACAUAGCAUACACAUCAAUAACUUAUAGUCCAUGUGAAACACAUGAACCUCUAGCAUACAUCACAUAUAAAAGAAUGCACAUGCAUGAAUCAUGGCACUCCACAUCAUCAUACGGACAGGACUGACAUCCUAUCCUAAUGGACAUGUUUUCCUUAUGGUGCUUGACUCGCUAUAACCUCUGUGAACCCAUCUCUAACCAUCUAGGUCCGACCAUGUGAACCUAACUGCUCUGAUACCACUAUGUAACAGCCCGGAAAUCGAACUGCUACCGGCACUAGGAUCCAGAUCGGCUUAAGGCCGCCUAGACCCGUAGUAAGCCUACUGUGAACUCUGUGUACCUGUGAAAUCCCAUACAUGAUCAUACAUUCUCUGUAAAAAUUAAAACUUUCUUUCUCCACGGCUUAACCUGUGCAUACUCUUCUUCUAUACUAUAAAAAUUUGCCAGAGCUCUCAUCUUUGCUCAAGGCAGUUACAUCUCAUACUAUGUUAAGCCUGGUUUUUCAUACAUAAAACAUAGAACAUUUACAUAAACUGAUCAUGUACAUACAUAUGGGAUAACUACUCAUAUACAUCAAGCACCAUCUAUACUCUGUACAUACACUAGCUCUUUACCAUUACAUGUCCAUUCUAACUAUUACAUAUCUCUAUUCUCUAUACAUUCUUCCUGUACCCUUCUUACAUCUCUCUAAACUCAGAACCUGCAAAACUGGGAUUAGGGGAGAGGGGUGAGCUUCUAUAGCCCAGUGAGCAGGAACAACAAGAAAAACAUUAAAACAUAUGCCAUCAUGAAUGCAUCAAGCACGGACAUUUCACAUCACGGAUGGACUGAUUCAAAAAUCCCUUAGCUCUAUGCCCGGCCCUAAAGAGAGUACCACAGGACUUCGUACUCAAUAUGCCCGGCCUUAAAAAAGGCACCACAGGACUUCGUGACUCAGAGCUAUUGCCCGACCCUAUUAUGGGCACCACAGGAUUUCGUAUACCAUAAUCAGAAGGCUAAUGAAUCAUCCUAAUGUCCAUCCACACCAUCAAUUAUAUCAAUGCAAUGCAUCAUCUUCGUGGAUUCUAAUGCAACAACCUAAUAUUACAUGGCAUUCAUGAUGCGUGUCUCAUGCUCAUACUAUUAUUAUCUUUAAACAUCAUUUUAAAACAUGCAUAGUUAGUCCCACUCACCUCUGGCUGACUUUAGACUGACUCUGCAGGUUCUGUAGCAGUACUCACUGCUGAUCUCUCUGAUUUCUCUGAUCCGUUCCUACACAAUUGGACUCAGGUGAGGAACCAAACUAACUCAAUAACAUACCUAAGAACUCCCCCAAAAGCCCUCUAAAAGACCUUAACUCUAUCACAUAAAACAUGCAAAAGAGGGCUGGACAGGGCACUUUCGGCGGCAGGUUCGACGGCCGAAACUCCCCUCCAGAGACGAAACUCACCUACUUUCGGCGGCCGAACCUCUACUUUCGGCGGCCGAAAGUCACUUACUCUCCUUCGGGUGCACAUUCGGCAUCCGAAAGUCUCGUCCAGAGACGAAACUCAACCUUCGGCGGCACUUUCGGCGGCCGAAUGUGCAUGACAGAUCUGAAAGUCCAACUUCCGGAAGCAGCCUUCGGCAGCCGAAGCCACCUCUUCAAGGCAUUCGGCGGCCGAACCUCCCUUCGGCGGCCGGUUUCGCCCGAAGGGCAGAAAUCUGCUCUGCUUCAUGCACAACUCCUCCUAUCCUUCACUCAACAUGCACACACAACUCCUCAACAUACAUAUACACUUGUACAUGCACAAAGGGGUCCAAAACUAGCCUAUAACCCCAAAAAAACACAUCAAACAACACUUAAAACAUGCUUAACACAUAAAUCAUCAAAACCCUCCUAUAAACCUAAUCAUGCAUACUACCCCAUAAACUUUCAUAAAACCUUUAAAAAACAUGUUAGAAGCUUAGGAUCUAUCCCUUACCUCUUGGAAAACUUGAGGUUAAACGACUCUAACGUGGAGUUGUGAAGAAAAUCCCUUCCAAAGCUCCAAGCUUCAAAACUCACUCUUUUUGCUCAAAACUUCAAAACAACCAUAAAACCUUUAAAACUCAUGGAAGAUUUAGUGAAAAACUCAAAAAUCAUGAAAGUCAACGUGGAGAGGUUUUGCUCACCUUUGGCUGCUGGUGGGAGGAGAAAUAUCCUCCUCUCACCGACCCUCGGGCCUUUUAUAGGUGGCUGGCCAGACCACCUUCGGCAGCCGAACGUGAAGCUGAAACCAUGCAAUGUUCGGCGGCUGAAAGUGACCUUCGGCGGCCGAACAUUAGCAUUUCUCCCUUAUUAUUUUUUUAUUCCAAAAACUCACUUCUCUAACCCUUUAAAACCUUUAAACUCUUUUAAAACAUUCUUUAAAGCAUUAAAACAUAUCUAAUACCCUUCUAGAGAAUCCCGACACCCGAGAUUCCACCGGACUACAGGAAUUCCGAUGCCGGACUCUAGCCGGGUAUUACAAAAACAGUUCCUUUGCAUCAUUAAUCUUCCCAACGUUGCACAUACCAUUGAUCAGACUGCUAUAGAUCACAAAAUUAGGCUUCAACUGACUUUUCUCCAUUGCUUUCAAUAGUGUAAGUGCUUCAUCGAGAUUCCCUUGUCUACACAAGCCAUCAAUCAUAAUUGAGAAGGUUACUAUAUCUGGCUGUUGACCAUGAGAGCACAUAUCCUUAAAGAGCUCUUUUACAUUUUGGGGCCUCCCUGCUUGAAACAUACCCUUUAUAAGAGUAGAAUAAGUAACAACAUCAGGAACUAAACCUUUAUGAGACAUUUCAUCAAAAAGCUCUUUUGCAUCAUCUAUCAUUUUGCACUUACAAUAUCCAUUGAUCAAAAUGUUGUAGCUAAAAAUGUUAGCUAUUUCAUUAGUCACCAUCAGAUCAAAUAGCUUUCUAGCCUUAUCAAUUUGGUUGCUUAGACAAUAUCCAUCCAUCAUUGAAUUAUAAGUGACAAUAGUAGGUUGCACACCUCUUUGAAUCAUUAUUUUUAUUAUAUUUG